rnacentral:rRNA from 1 species
UACGUAGGUGGCAAGCGUUAUCCGGAAUUACUGGGUGUAAAGGGUGAGUAGGCGGGAAGGCAAGUCAGAUGUGAAAUGCAGGGGCUCAACCCCUGAACUGCAUUUGAAACUGUUUUUCUUGAGAGUCGGAGGGGUAAUCGGAAUUCCCAGUGUAGCGGUGAAAUGCGCAGAGAUUGGGAGGAACACCAGUGGCGAAGGCGGAUUACUGGACGACAACUGACGCUGAUACACGAAAGCGUGGGGAGCAAAC